AUUCGUCUCCCUCUCUCCUCUCAAAUCUCUCUCUCCGAGAUCGACCCAUCGGGACCUUGCGGCCCCUCUCCGAUGUCCCUCACGAGCUCGUACUUCUCCAUCGCCAACCCUAGCUAGCUAGCUAGGCCUGCCUCCUCCUCAUUCGAGAAAGCUAGGGUUUUUACAAAUGGAGGGUUGCGUUGGAAUCGAGGCACGUGGGAUCACUGCUGCUGCUGAUUUCUGAUGAUGAUUUCGCGUCGGAUCGAAUCGAGGAUGCAGUUUUUGAUUUCUUUAUUAUUAUUAUUUGUUGUUGGUGUUUUUUACAGGGUUUUUUAAUUGUUUAAUUUGGGUUUUUUUUGAUCUGAGAACGAGGGGUUUGUUGCUGUUUCUUGAGGGUUGGAGAACCAUGGGAAUAUUUGAGGUUUGGAGGACGACCGCCGCCAAACCGCCGACCGCCACCCUCUCAUUCGUUCUCUUCCUCUACCUCUCUCCGCGAUCAAGGCGACAGAAAUAGCUCUGGCCCAAGAUUGUGAUCCGCAAAUGGCUCAAUAUCAGCACCAAAUACUCUGAUUUUAGUGCUAAUGAAGGGGAUACCACUGAGAGCGAUUAUGAAUUUAAAGAGAUGUGCCGAUGGGAGAGGGAAUUGUGUGAGGAAGACAGGAGAUAGGGCCUGGGGCUGAAUCAUAUGGU